ensembl:lncRNA
GAGAGUGUGUCUGAGAGAGUGUGAGAGAGAGAGUGAGUGUAGUGUAAAAGAAUCGAAAGCUCUGAAAAGUGAAUGUAACAGUUACAAAAAUAGAGACUUUUGACUUAUUCCACGCCUGCCACCCGUAUCCUCCCUCCAGACCUAGCCCAGGGGAAGUGUCACACUGGUGCCAAAACCUGGGACGGAGGAGGAUCACCGCCCUGGAGAUAAUGUUAAUUCCAUGUUAAUUCCCUUGCCGGCCUCCACGCUCCUGAAGCUCUUCGAGGGUGCUGCGGACGCGGGGGCUGGCCAGUGUCAAGUGGGCGGUCCUCCUGCUGCCACUAUUGUCGGGGAAGCCCAGCUCGCAACCCAACAGCUUCCGGUCCGUGAACCUGCUGCAGUACCUGGACUUAAAGUGGGCCAUUUUGCAACAGGUUGGCCACACCCCGAACAACACAAUCAGCACUUCUGCUCGCUGACGUUCCGUGAGCUCGGCGCCUGUUCACAUUUACCCAACGGCUCUGAGACACCUGUAGUGGACCUCAUGGUGCUGGAGUGGUUCGUUGCCCGACUACUGCUAGGUAUGGCGGAGUGGGUCCAGUGCACCAUCUGGCGUCGCUAGAUGAGGCAAUCCAGCUGGUGGAGGACCAUUUGGUGGUGUUUCCAGGGGUAGGUCAGCUCCCCCCCCUCUCCCUCCCUCUUUCUCUCUCAUUCUCCCCCAUUUUCUCCCUGCCCUUUCGUUUCCCUGCUCUACAGAAACAGGGAACAAUUCCCCCGAAACCAGCUCCCCAUCCCAGGGUUCCACUACCCCUACCUCCUCUCCUCUCCUUCACCUCUGAUGUCUCCCCUGACUCCCUCUCUCUCUACACAGGUAGUACAUUCCACAACUACCAGGACGGAGGCAAAAGCUGGGCAUUUUCGGGAUCAAGAUCUCCCUUCGGGAUCCAGAUCCCUGAUGCGCUGCAGGCCUCCCCGAUCAAGCAGGUACAUACAGCAUGUCAAUGAGUAUACAAGGGAGUACAUAUCAGCCACAGGGACAGCCCAUUUCCUAAACAGAGGGGGAUCUGAUACACCAUUAAUC